rnacentral:rRNA from 1 species
ACGUACGCUGGCGGCACGCCUAACACAUGCAAGUCGAACGAAGUAGCAAUACUUAGUGGCAGACGGGUGAGUAACAUGUAGGUAUCUGCCCUUUGGCCUGGAAUAACACGAGGAAACUUGUGCUAAUACCGGAUAAGUCUUUACGGAGAAAGCUUUAUGCACCAUUGGAUGAGCCUGCACUUGAUUAGUUUGUUGGUGGGGUAAUGGCCUACCAAGACUGUGAUCAAUAGCUGAUUUGAGAGGAUGAUCAGCCACAUUGGGACUGAGACACGGCCCAAACUCCUACGGGAGGCAGCAGUGGGGAAUCUUGCACAAUGGAGGAAACUCUGAUGCAGCGAUGCCGCGUGAGUGAAGAAGGCCCUUGGGUUGUAAAGCUCUUUCGUCGGGGAAGAAAAUGACUGUACCCGAAUAAGAAGGUCCGGCUAACUUCGUGCCAGCAGCCGCGGUAAUACGAAGGGACCUAGCGUAGUUCGGAAUUACUGGGCUUAAAGAGUUCGUAGGUGGUUGAAAAAGUUAGUGGUGAAAUCCCAGAGCUUAACUCUGGAACUGCCAUUAAAACUUUUCAGCUAGAGUAUGAUAGAGGAAAGCAGAAUUUCUAGUGUAGAGGUGAAAUUCGUAGAUAUUAGAAAGAAUACCAAUUGCGAAGGCAGCUUUCUGGAUCAUUACUGACACUGAGGAACGAAAGCAUGGGUAGCGAAGAGGAUUAGAUACCCUCGUAGUCCAUGCCGUAAACGAUGUGUGUUAGACGUUGGAAAUUUAUUUUCUGUGUCGCAGGGAAACCGAUAAACACACCGCCUGGGGAGUACGACCGCAAGGUUAAAACUCAAAUGAAUUGACGGGGACCCGCACAAGUAGUGGAGCAUGUGGUUUAAUUCGAAGAUACGCGCAGAACCUUACCAACACUUGACAUGUUCGUCGCGACUCUAAGAGAUUAGAGUUUUCGGUUCGGCCGGACGAAACACAGGUGCUGCAUGGCUGUCGUCAGCUCGUGUCGUGAGAUGUUGGGUUAAGUCCCGCAACGAGCGCAACCCUCACUUUUAGUUGCCAUCAUUAAGUUGGGCACUCUGAAAGAACUGCCAGUGAUAAGCUGGAGGAAGGUGGGGAUGACGUCAAGUCCUCAUGGCCCUUACGUGUUGGGCUACACACGUGCUACAAUGGCGGUGACAGUGGGAAGCGAACGGGCAACCUGGAGCUAAUCCCCAAAAGCCGUCUCAGUUCGGAUUGUACUCUGCAACUCGAGUGCAUGAAGGUGGAAUCGCUAGUAAUCGCGGAUCAGCAUGCCGCGGUGAAUACGUUCCCGGGCCUUGUACUCACCGC